UACGGAGGGGCUAGCGUUGUUCGGAAUCAUUGGGCGUAAAGCGCACGUAGGCGGCCUGUUAAGUCGGAUGUGAAAGCCCCGGGCUCAACCCGGGAAGUGCAUUCGAAACUGGCGGGCUUGAAUAUGGAAGAGGGUCGCGGAAUUCCCGGUGUAGAGGUGAAAUUCGUAGAUAUCGGGAGGAACACCAGUGGCGAAGGCGGCGACCUGGGCCAAUAUUGACGCUGAGGUGCGAAAGCGUGGGAGCAACAGG
rnacentral:rRNA from 1 species